CUGUUGUUGUGCAUUAAAUAAAUGCAUAAAUUUUGCUUUAUGCACUCGCGUGUGCAGUAAUUUUGACAGUUAUGCUAUUAUAAAUUCCCAGGCGCAUAAAAUCUUUUAUCUUUAAAACAAUGUUGAUUUCUAGUUGGAAAUUUUCGAUUUAUACAAGCAGAGCAUUCAUAAACAAGUGAAUGAAAUAAGUACUUGCAUUCUUUUGGGGUGAAACCAGCACAUUUUAUAUGCGCCAGGCCUGAACAACAGGCACACUGUACUUGUCUAUGAUUGUUCGCCAAACCACGAUGACAGACCAAACAUUUACUUUGAUUUGGCCCGGGAUUUGGAUUUAUGUCUCCACAUAAAACAAGAUAUUCACGAUUAAAUGUUGCACAGCUAUUAUC